AUUGAACGCUAGCGGGAUGCCUUACACAUGCAAGUCGAACGGAGUGGCGAACGCGUGCGUAUUGUAACGGAACGUGCCCCGUAGCGGGGGAUAACUACGCGAAAGCGUAGCUAAUACCGCAACCUCUUGGAGCGGCAUAUAUCGGAUUAGGUAGUUGGUGGGGGAAGGGCUCACCAAGGCGCCGAUCCGUAGCUGGUUCGAGGGGACGACCAGCCACACGGGGACUGAGGAACGGCCCAGACUCCUACGGGAGGCAGCAGGGGGGAAUUUUGGACAAAGGGGGGAAACCUGAGACAGCCAUCCCGCGUGUGCGAUGAAGGCCUUCGGGUUGUAAAGCACUGUUGGCAGGAAAGCGGUACCUGCAGAAUAAGGACCGGCUAACUACGGGCCAGCAGCCGCGGUAAUUC
rnacentral:rRNA from 1 species